CUCUCUCUCACGCACACACACACACACCCACCCACCCACCCACCUAUAAACACCGCCGCCUCUCAUUCCUCUCUCUGCUUCGUGUUUUAAAGUUUUGUUACCUGAAGAAGUGGUUGUGGAUCGGGUCGGAUCGGCGCAGAUCGAACAAAAUCAAAUGGAAUCGUCUCCAGGAACGUUCGGCGUUGAAGAGCUGUUGAAAUCAUGGGCGGCGGGUUCGAUUAAACGGCAGUUGGAGGAGAUGCAAUCCAAUCCCUAAGACGAUUUCAAGUGCCUCGCACUCACGUCGGACCCAUAUGACUGGCAAUUUGCAAUCACAGGCCCUAAUGGAACUGACUUCGAGGCUGGGAUUUAUCAUGGUCGGAUCCAGUUUUUGGGGAAAUACCCACACAACAUAAGCGUCCUAUGUUCACGUUGUUGUCGGAAAUAUCAUAUGUCGUUGCUUUUUAAGGAAAAUGGUCGCUUCAAAACCCAAACCGAGAUCAGUUUCAGCGAUAUUUUUCGGAAGGAGCAACACGGUCGUACAUUUCAUUCUUUCUGAGACAUUAUGUAUGCUAGUAUAUAAUGUUAGAAUACAUCUCUUGAAACACUCACUCUCCUGCUAAAGAAGAAGAGAAGACACAUAAUCCACCAAAACACAAAAGCUAUUCUUCUACUCUCAAUAAACCAAAAUGCUUUUGCUAAUGGAUAAGGUUUUAGCCUCAUUAUUAUAUAAGUUUUCUUGACUGUAUGCCCUUGUUUUUUAUAUAAUGUGCCAUCUUGCUAUUGUACUGUUGCUGUUGGCAGUGCGAGAUGCUUUGCUUAGACUUAUUGAGUUAUUGCCCACCUACCCAAUAGAGAAACCAGCUCGACUUCCUGAGAAGACAACCAAGAAUGAUGAACUGAGGUGAUCUGUAUUGAAAACAGCAUUACAUCAUCAUUAAUAGGAUUAGAGUUUGGAUUUGGAAACAUCAUACAUCAUCUAUAUAUUUCAAUUCGAUUUCAAUUCAAUUGGGCCGACCCAAUUAGAUUCGGUUCGAUUUUGCAAGUUUAGUUGGUUUGAGCCCAAUAUCAGUUUUUUUUUUUUUCAAAUGUCCAAUAUUGGUUUGUUUUUUCCAAAAAGCUAAAUAUCAGUUUUUUAAACAGGCCAGCCAUAAAGCCAUUUCGUUUUACAGUACUAUCAAUCCAAGUAUAAUCUAUUAGUUCUUACAGCACAUGACAAAAAAAUUUACAUAAAGCAAGAAAUUUAUAUUACACUUACAACAAUAGCUGCAGCAA